UGUUCCCUCAGGUGCUUUUUUAAGCUCUGUACAAACCGAGAUGAGAAAAGUUGUGCACAUUCUGUGGAACAUUUCAGUACAGAACAUUGUGUUUCAUUUUUCAAGUCAAAAUGCAAAAUGCUGUUGUUUGUUUGUUUGUUUUUCUUCUCACGCUAAGGCUCGGAUAGCAGACAUUUGUUUAGAGAAGAGACUGGACUUCUGGUGAAGGAAAAGGCACAGCAAGACCACAGCUCCUACCUCAGAAUGUUCCUAAAUAUUCCUAGGAAAGUAGCAAACUGGAGAGUUGAAUUGGAAACAUUAAACAUCUACCACAGACCACAAUCACCUUCUAAUCCAAGUUAAAAGGAAAUGUGUUGAGAUGUCAAACUGUAGAUGAAACAGCAGGAAAAAGUCAACAAUUCAAUUUGUGAAACAUCAGCAGCAAAGCGCAGUAAAAGAUGUGUUGGACUGAGCAAACCGUUACCAUUCCCUGCUCCUCAUCCACUUAGAAGUUCAACGGUCAACCAAAAACAGUGGGGAGAAAGAAGUAUUCAGGUUUGUCAAAGGUACAACACACGUGGUAAGUAGAACCUCAGUAAGUCUAUAAUUAAGUUUCAAUUUGCUAAGUAUUUUGCAGACCAGGAAAAGGAUGCUCCUGGGAGCAUGAGACCAUCUAUUUCAAAAGAUGACUUUCAUCACCACAGCCCAGUUCCUAGCACGUUUUAAGCGAUAGGGCAGGGUAGUUGCAUCAGGUGUCUGUUCUGGCAUAAAAUACCCAUCCAUACUGAAAUUAUGUUUCUUUGGCUCUAGGCAACAUACAUACACAAGCAUUGCAAAGGAUACCACUAAAAAUUGUUUUCAUAAGCUAUUUUGUUUUCUUUCUCUGAUCCAGAUAGCCAGCAGAUCAGAAUGUGCAGUUAAUCAACUAGAUUUUACUCUUGUUCCUUUUGACUUAGAGGAUUACAGUUAGGUUAACCGACAUGUCAAAAAGAAAAAAAAAAAAUAUGUUAAAAACUUACUCUAGUUGUUGAUAAAAAAAAAACAGCUAUUUUUCCUCUUCUUCCUCCUCCUCCUGUGCCUCGCUCACAUUCUCCUUCAAAAAAGCUAUCAUCUUCUAUUUCACCAAGCCUUCCUUAGCAACUCAUCCCUUCUAACAUAAAGACUCUCUCUUCUCUGUUUGCAGUUGGCAAUUAUAUCUCUCUUACAGCAUGAGGCACCAGGAAUAAGCACUUAUUUUUCCAGACCUAAGCAAAUCACUUGUUAUUAAAUCCUCAAAGCCUCAAAAAUAAUACACACCAAAAGAUUAACUGGAAUAAUACUUCCUCCAAUCUGUAGACAGCUGAAAGUCUUUUUCUCCCUUUGCACAUGUGAACAGAUGCACUGAUUUUCUCAGAGUAAGUUUUCACUCUCCCAAAUAGCCAACCUCACUAUUCUUUCUAUUCCUUCUCAUCAAGUUUCUCUGUUUUAAAUCUUAUCCAAUAUCUUCUUGUAUACCAAACAGGCAUCAGCACAUGCAACAUUUUAUUUCCACUCACAUAUUUUACAAGUUUCUAAUGAACCAUUUGAGGUAAGUUGAAUUGUUUUAUUCAGUUCCAUCCAUACUCCUAAACACUCUAAUUAUUCUCUCCCCCCGCAAACACUUGUACAAUGCCAUGCCGUCCAGCUUUACUCUUUUGCUAGGCUGACAGCCUUAGAGCCAGUAGUGGGGAGGAACUUACACUGGUCACUCGACGGUAGAUCUGCGCGGCAUUUUGGCACUCAGAAUAAGGAUACUCAGACGUUGCCAUCUCUAGCAUACACAUCCCAAAAGCAUAUACAUCAACGGAUUCAUCAUAUUUCUCCUCAUACAUCUCGGGGGCCAUGAACUCUGGGGUACCUUAAAUUAAAAGAACGAUUCAGACUCUAAAUGUCUCAAAGCGAGCAGAGGCUGCUGGCGUUACUCACCGCAGGAGGAAGUGGAUGGGCAGACCUGUGAGACAAAAGAAAGUGGAGGCAAAAAGAAGAGGGAGGAAACCCUUAGUCACUCUGUUUUAUCAAACCACUUUGCGAGUCUUCCAUUGCAAGGUCUUUAUGGAAUCAGAAUGGCAUGAACAGACUGAUGUAGUUUUCAUUUUACGCAUGUUAGUGCAAGUACCAAAACAGACUGAAUCAGGCAUCAAAUGGAGGAAAGGGGAUAAGAAGAAGGGAAAAACAGACUAGCCAUAGGCUGCAAACCAAAUACUAAGGAGAGUUAAGACACUUACCUUUUCUCCCUGUAAGAAAGGAGGCACAUUAAACCUGGUUUCAAGAAUUACCUGACCGCCCUCUGCUGCAAAAGAAGUAGUAUUGGUAAGAGCCCACAGCUAGUCUCUGUCCUAGUGCUCUCCACCUACUUUUUGAAGUAGAAUGGUUCAGGAAAGGCCUUGCAAUGAAAAACUCUUUUUGUUAAAAAAUAUAAAUCUUCAUGAUAGAAAGUGAAAAGUAAUUUUCUGCAAAGGCCACUCACCGGAGCCCUCUUCUUCAUAUACUUACCUUCUCACCUGCAGUAUAUUUAUAGGCCUACUGCAGAUACAGGCAUUAGUGAGGAACAUCCUACAGUCAAAAAAUACUUAGAAAUACAGAGAGAUUGAGUUACAAGCAUAGAGCGUGAGAUUCAACAAGUCCCAUUUAAAUAGUUUGCAGAGAAUUUUUGCUCAGAAGCAUCACAGCAUCCCCUCUGUAAUCAAAGGGACUGCACUGUAUGAUUAAAGACGUAAGUUUGAUUCUGUAAAUUUAAGCACAGAAUUACUUCCUGCAAAUACCAGAAUCAAGAUAGUUCUAUAAAUCAAUGAACAGUCACUUUUGUUUUCACAACACAAAAUGAAGAGAGAAUGUCAUUGUAGCCAUUUAUCCAAAGGCAAACUAUGAACAUACAAAGGGAUAAUUUUGUAAUGAUGUAUUUGAAGAAGAAGGGAGCACAUUUAAGAAAAAAACUUUUUUUCUUGGACAAUGUGUACUUUUCAUUCAUACUAUUAUUUUGACCUGGUUAAGAAGCAGGAAAUAUUUCAGCAAUCACUUUCAAGACAGUUUAUGGAUAUACAUCUUUUAUCCCAUUUGGGUAUCUAAUAUAGGACUGUUGAGCAAUAUUACAUUUUAGCAAGCUUAGACACUGGAAAUAAAAGCAAUUUCAUUCCUCAAAGCCUAUUUGCCCAACUAUAAGAACAAAGCUGAUAAAACCAUUUCUUUAAAGAAUUUACAAGAAAACCUGUACUAGAUCUAUCAAUCCAAUAGCUUAUUUCCUGAAAACGCUCAUUAGCGGAUACACAAGAACAGAGCAAGUACAAGACAAUACUUCCCCAAUGCAUCCUCCUGACUUAAUGGAAAACUGCAGUCCAGAGACUUUCUGGUUAAAACAUUAUACCCCAGUCCAACUGCAAUAUAUUUUGACUUUCUUUGAUAAAUCUUAGUUUUUGUUGGCCAAUUGUAAGAGAUUUAAUAUUAACAUCUGGUGACAAUUGAAAAAAUUGGCUGUAUAAAUUAAUGCUUAGCUAAACAUCAAGAUAUUUGUUAGUCACCAAAACCUAUUUGCAUGUUUCUUGAACAGAUAUAUAAUUCUCACCUUUCAUAUGCAGUUAAGAAUGGUUUUAUCAACAGUGUUGCAGAAAACUGUUGGGCAAGGCAAUAAAUCUAUAUUCUGAAAUACUUUAAGUUACUAUACAAAUACAAAACGCAUCAUGUCAUCUCAUCAGGAACUCCACCUGACCUCAAAAGCCAAGAAAUCAAGCCUACACAUCUUCAAGCUUAGAUUGUGUAUCUUUGAAACCAUAUUUUAAAAGGAAAGCUCUUAAGGCUCGAAUUCCCAAGUACAUAGACCGGCUCAUCAGCCUUCUAAACAGUAGAGACUUACCUAUCACACUUUUGGCAAAAGAAGCUCGCUUCAGGGUUGCCAGUCCAAGGUCUCCAAUCUUGACUGAACCAGUGGGGCCAGUAAUGAAGAUGUUGUCACAUUUUAAGUCUCUAUGAAUAAUGGGAGGAGUGCGUGUGUGUAGAAAUUGUAAGCCUUUCAGUAUCUGACGACACCAGCUUCGUAGUACUUUGAUUUUCAUCACUUUAAAUCUUUUCAGGUACCUACAGAAAAAUAACAGUACAUGAAACAGGCUCCAGUGUCAGCCACUUGUACUACAAAAUUAAGUUCUGCUACCAAAUAGCAGAUUAUGCUGUAUAUUUGCUGUUUUAAAGCGAGAAAGCAGUAGCUAAAGAGACUGAGAAAUUUUAACUUCAUCUAUUUUAAAAAAUACCUCUCCAGUUCAAAAAUCAAAGAGCUGAAGAUGGAUCCCCCUCCAAGAAAGAAAAACUGCCCUAUGAAAAAUUUCUGCCUACUUCCUUCUAACCACAAGACUAUAGUGCUGAAGGUUAAAAAGUAAAUUAUUAAAAUCAUUAAAUUAUUGUAUUAUCAAAAUAUUUUAAAAAUAAAUAAUUUGCAUACCAAGUCAACCUAAAGAUAAUUAAGCACUCAGCUUGCUAAAUUUCAAUGCACUGCUUCCCCAACACACAGUUAAAAACUUAUGCAUUACAUUAUCUACUUAUUUAAGAGGAUUACCUACCCUUCAGUUUAUCCCAUCCUUGCUUAAAUAGUUAAAAUCUUUUCCUUGGUGAACUAUUGGGAAGAGGGCAGUAAAGCCAAAGAUGCUAAUAAAGAACAGCCGAGUACAGAGCUGCUGCAGACCACGCAAGAGUUACAAAGUCACCCUAGUUAUCAAUGUUAGUCCAACCACUUUGAUCAAGGAUUCCAGAUUACGCUUUGAACCUACAUCAAAUUUACUUGCUGUCAAGCAAAUAAAAAACUCUCAGAGAUCACUUCCCUGGUACUGUCCCAUACGGGAUGUGACUGUCUGAAUCUGAUCAGAUAAUACUCACCACUUCAAAACUACGGAGAGGAAAAGAAGAUCUUUAAAAUGAUUAUGCUAACAGAUUGAUGUGGAAAUUACAUGCACAGCAUCAGCAUCCCUUUGCAGGCAAAACAUGACCCAGUCUUAACUGUUCUAAUAUUGCUGCUUUCUAAAUGUCAGAAGAGAAAAUUCACACAAAUAAUUGUUUUCCAGUCUUCGUGACACAAGAAUGUGAUCUUAUUCUACUAAACUUUGAUAGCCUAAAGAUGUCACAAGGUGAAUGGCCUAUUCAAGUGUUUUCCAGCUGUGUAUUCUCACAUGCUCUCUUCAGGUAGAAGCGUUAGUUUAAAGAAAGAGUUCUUUUCUUCCUUUUUAAAAAGAAAGGGCUGACAUGUAUUUAGAGAAGGAACUGCUGAAAUGGUACACUCUGUACAGCAAUAAUUUUAUUCUUAUGUGCCUGAGGUUGGACAAGUUUUAUACUGCCACAAGACUGGGUGUAAACUCUGUGACCAGGAUGGAGCUACAUGCUUAAAAUCAAGUCAGGUUCAAUUACUGAAUGGCAGUGUUCAGUCUUCUGCAUACCCAUAAAAUUACUUGCAUCAACACCAGCAUAAAAACUCCAUAAUUAAACUCCCGUUACUUUAAUUUCUCCACUUUAGAGGAAGAUCUGGGAAACAAACUGCUAGCAAUAAAAAAACAAAACUGUAAAAGCAGUCAGGACCUAGUUCCAGAAGGAGUCUUGAACCAGACUGUAAAGACGGACAGGGAAAAAGCCAACCCAAGGAAGGAGACAAGCUGAAGGAAGUUCUGGAUCACAUCAGCUACCACUUGAAUUCUUGCUAUUGACACAAUGCUCAUUCAUCACUCUUGAGUCUGUUCCAAAGAUCACAUGGUAGGGGCACUUCAGUUCAGCAUCUGGAAUCCCUAAUUACAUUCUUGGUUUCAAAUAUGCUAGUCUACUGCCAGCUUCUCACUGUUAAAGGAUCUGGGUCCAACCAUCACCCAGCAUCCUGCAGCGUUGCUGUAAUUUUUCCAUAACACUGCCAUAAACAAAGUCACACAUCACUUAAGGUAGAAAGUGUUUUAAAAUGGAAAAAUAUAUAAAUACUUAAAAAAUACAUGUACAGCCCUAUUAGCCUACUAGGCUUUAUUUAUCCAAGUAUUACACAUACAGUAACUCAGGUUUGAGAAGACCUCAAAAGGUCUCUAGGCUAAGCUUCUUUUCCACAUAGGGUCAGUCAGGAAGUCAGACCAGGUUCAUUUGAGCUGUGUCCUGUCAGAUCUUGAGCAUCUCCAAGGAAGGAGACAGCAUACCUCUUGGGGCAACUUGUUCCACUGCCUGAUUGUCAAAAAGCUUCCUAUUGCACCCAGAAACCAGCUCCCUAGUUUCAGUUAAUGCCUGUUACCUCUAAUCCUCCUACCCACCAAGCAGCAACAGAAAGAGCCUAUGACUUCUUCAUAACAGCAGUCUUCCAGUGCCUAAGUCACUCCUAAAAGUUUCCCUUCUUUAGCUCAGUUUUUCCAGCUCAUAAUCACACAGCAGGUACUCCAACCCCUGACAUCUUGAUGACCGCCACUGAACUUGUUCCUAGCUGAUCAGCAUCAUUCUUCUCUAUUUAACAGGGUAGUUGUCAAUUAAAGAUAGGUACUUGAUCUUAGCACAAAUACAAGCAGAGAUGAGAAAACAAGACAAUCCUAAUAAUUAUCUUCAACAAAUGGAGAAAAGUAGGAACUAGAGUUUGAUUUCUGUCUCGCAAUUUUACGUGUUUGGAUUUUUUUAAAACCAGGAAGGCUCACAAUCUAUCACAGCAUCUCAUCUCACGGAGCUAAAGAAAUUCUACUUAGCAGAAAUAGUUAUGAAGGCACAUAUCCUACCAGAAUAAUAUUUUCAUCUGAAGUAGAUCAGGAAUACACAUUACAGUGGCUUUUGAAGUCAGAACUAGAGACUGAGACUUCAGUCAGAAAAAUUAAACUGCCAUCUUCAUUAACAGUGUAAUUAAGACUUAAAGUAGACAAUUCAAUUUUUUCCAAUACUUUCUGUUUAUAUAUAAUGUUAGAAAGCAAAUUCUUAUAGUAAUUGAGUUGUAAGACGUUUAAAUUGGUAUGUUCCCCAGAAGUGCAGGGACUUUUCUUUGUGCAAUUAAAAGUCUUCCCAGGCAGCAUUUUAAAAGGACGAAUUCACAAUAUUACCUACACAAAUACAAUACAACUUCGUGAAAAGAUACUUUGGGAUAACAUUAAAAACAAACAAACAAAAUGUGAGAUAUGUAAUAUCAAGUGGCAACAGUGGCUAUGUCUCAGAAUGAGGAAGAUACCACUUGCUUUUAAAAGCAAGUAGUAUAAACACACUGGAUAAAUAUGGAAGCAAUAUGCACUCAAACUCCAUAUGUUAAAAAUCAGUGAGCAGUAUGGGAAUAGAAUAUAAAUGAAAUACAUAUUGAUAUUAAAUUUGGUAUUUCAGAAAUUUCUCAUGUAGUUUACUUGUCAGAUAUCCAGUGAGGAGCAGAAAAAUGAACUAAAUUACAAAGUACACAAUAGUGAAAAAAAUAAAGUGUUAUUUAAACGAUAGCCAAUUAAAAAGAAUAUUAAGGUUUUUUUUCCCAGAUAAAAAAAGACCUUCAUAAUUCAGAGUACAAAACAAUCUUAUGGCUAGUAAAUCUUAAGUAUUUCUUCCUAUCAAAGCAUUAUCUUAUAGUUAUCUGCUUUUACUUUAUCUUGCUUAUGCCACUGCAUAACAAAGCAAUCCAAGCAUUAAAUCUGUGAGGGAAAGAACAGAGUGAGAAAGAGAGGAAGAGUUAUAUCCAACCCUAUAUACACUACAAUGAAAAUAGAUACCUGCAAAUAGAUGCAUCUGUACAAAGCUGUAAAACCUUCAUACCGUUCUAAGUACAGGACAUAAAGUAACUGAUCUAUUACUUUAUCUGAUAUACCUUAAACAACCUCAGAAAAGCUCUUCAUGGAUACAUAGAUAAAGUUACAACUUCUUUAGUCCUCCAACCCUCUUUCAAGAAAGAAACACAUCCCUAUAAUUACAGUUCAGACUCCCAGGAGCACAUUUUCCCUGUUUUAAGCAUGUCCAUUUGUGGCAAUCAACAAAUGUUGCAAGAGGAAAAAAGCCACAAGAAGUUCACAGCCCAUUUUAACCAAAGUUCCUACACUCUAUUCACACAUUUAGGAUUUAAAUGCUAGUCCAAGAUUUAAAUGGACACCAAAUUAAGACUACGACUCACAAUCCAUGAAUUUUAAGUCAUGGCAGCUUUAUUUCCAGUAAUUUAACAGCAACUGGAUGCUCCUGAAGAAACUCACAUCUCCACAAGAUUUACAGCGUAAGACAAAAGCAUGAUUUCAGUUCAACUCCCUCAGCUUUACGUACCACUAGAGGGCCCUCACAGCAGUUUCAAUCACUAGUUUCCAACUGGCUUGAAAACAGAUCUAGCUUCACUCAAUUACUUCACAGGUCAAAACUGUAAAUGCUUUCAAGCUUUUCUAAAGUACAACCUCAUGAAGUUUUAACUAAAAAGAUGUAUUUUCGGGUGUGCUUUUUAUUCCUUCUUUUUAUUGAUUAUUGGUACUGUAGUAACACACAAUGCCUCCCAAGCAAGGUGAAUCAAUAAGAGCUUUGAACUCUACAAAAUACCUCAUGCCAAACUGAAGAAGCUCAGGAGGAAAACAAAAGGUACAAAAAAGCAGCACACUUACUGAGCUCACAAAAAUCAGAGACUUCUCCUGCAUGUGCUUAGUAGGACGUCACAAAGAAGAAUCUGACAAGUUUGCUAACAUAAAGAAUGGUCCAUUGUACCCUGCAGUGCUAACAAAACUCUUCUUCAACUCCUUAAACUUCUUAACUCCUCUCUUGCAGGAGUUUAGCCCUCAGUAAAAGGUCUCUGUCCUUAGCUAUUUUGAAUUAUUACCUACUUCAAAUGCCCUAAUAGUGAUAAUGCUCAUCAAGUGCUUUGACACGCUAGAAUUUACUUACGUUUUUAAUGUUCCAGAUGUCAUGAGUUCUGUCACAAGGACAAUACAUUUUUUUCCUUUGACUGUGGACUCCCAGGAAUCGUAGAACCUGACAAUAUUGGGAUGCUGAAGCCCUUUCAGCAUCCCAGCUUCCUCUUUGAAUCUUUGUCGCUCUGACUUGGAUAGUUUCCGAUCCUAACGAAGAAAGAAAAUAAAGCUUUGUUUUAUUUCUCAGAGAAACUGCAAAUUGAAAAACAGUUGUGUACAGUCAUUCAACAAGAAUCAACAAGCAUCUUUUAAACGCCAUUUUGCUGAGAGUUACUCAUGCAGUAACUUCUUUAUUUAGAAGAUACUCUAUCAUAGCUUUCCUUACAGUAUGAAUGGGGAUUAUCUCCUAGUGCUAUUUCUUCCAUCCCUACUCCAAAGGGAUUGCUUGACUUGAGGUGGAAAGGGGACAACGUCCUAAAAUACUCGUGCAUUCAAGGUCAGGCAAAAAGGGAUCAUUUAAAGCACAUAUCUCAGAUUAUAAACACCUAUAAUCUUCAGUUAUUCCUUCAAGCAUAGAAUCCACACCACUGGUAACAGACUGGAUUAAUUCUCCAUACAGAUGAUAGAGCAAAAAACCUAAUUUAUAGGAUGCAUUUCCAAAGAAAGACAAAUAAAUUUGGGUUAGAUUUUUAUUUAUUUAUUUAUUUUUAUUAAAAGCAUGACCUCAUGAUUGAGCAAGCUUCCUGUAAUCUAGCAUCAAGGAAAACAAAGACAUAAUUCACACCAGAGAGACAGCGAGCUUUUGGCCAGAGACAAGUCAUGAAAAAGCUUUCCUGGACGAUAUUGCUGUACUAUCUACAGCAACCAACUAUCUAAUAUCUUCAAGAUUCUGACCAGCUGACCAGGAAUAAACUGCAAAUAUGAAGAGUCUCCUUGCAUCUUUCAGCUGUCAGUUUACCAGUGCAUAGUCACACUAGUUUGGCUGAUAACUGACAUAAAUCAGAUCCAUAUGCAGAUAGUAUGAAAAACAAUUCAAGAUAGAUUCAAAGCCCAGAUUUUUACAAUCAGUGUUUCUGCCAGCUAAUUACAAAUAACCAGUGCCCUCUGUCAAAUCUUAGCAAAAAUUUUAAGGCUACAUUUACUUUUCAACUACAAGGCAGCAGAAUAAGUACUUAGAGUCUACUCAAACUGUUCACAAUUGUCCACUAAUCUGUAAUUCCUCUUCCUUUGUGAAGUCAGUGUGUUUUCUCAAUACUAUUCAGCCAUGUUAAUAUCCAAACCACCCUCUAUUCACAUAAAUUAUCGACUUUCCCUAGGAGGCAUGGACUACUUCAUUUCCAGAUGAAGCCCCAAUUUUCAGAAGCGUAGGAAUCUUCCAGAUCAAAUAGGAGAAUAGUUCUGAAAUUAUUUCAGAUGUCAGUGCUUUUAUGCGUCUAUCACUUACCAUAUAUUUAUGGUUGUUUAGGAAAACACCAGUUCUUAAGUGCCACAAAUUAAUCAAUAGAUAUCAAAAGCGUUCAAUCCCGCAACUAUUUCCCCCUGCAGAAACUAGUGCUACCACUUCUCCUCACUCCUUCAGAAAGCAUACUUGCACAGACAAGUUUUGAUAGAAUGUGCUUGCAGAAACACUAAGAAAACAUGUCAAUAUUCAUGUCUGCUGAGGUUUAGUGGUGUUUUUUGGUUGAUUUGGUUUUUAUUGAGUUUCUUUAAUAUGGAAGUAACGUUCCCACUUGAGCUCUUACACAGCUAAUAGCUUUCCUUUCUUCACAAUGUACAGCAGCACAAGUUCUGUCCAAGACCAAUGUAAUCCCGACUGUUACAAGCAGCAGAGAUGCAGAAAAGCAGUGAGCUGCUAUCAGCACGUCGAUCAAAAGAUCAUACACACAUGGUUUAAGAAUCUCAAUACUUUGAACAGAAUGCACAAUCACAAUAAUCAUUCUCACAAAGAUAACAAAGCAGAUUAUUCCCAGCCUCUGCUCUUUAUCUGUAUAAUUCAUCUGUUUAGCUCUACAUCGAAUUACUUUUUAUGGUAAUUAUAAAACACAGGCCGUAACAAUUACUCGUUACAUCGCUUAAAUUUAGCGAUGUAAUACAAACACCUACAUUUGUUUGUGUACAAAAACUAAAUUAUAGUUAGACACUUGGAUUAAGCUUCCUGUAUUUUGUGAACUAACAAAUAUUACUAACCAAUUUUAGACUAGACUUGACCUUAAGUUUUCAUUUAAACCUGAAUACUCCCGAUCUCACUUUUAAGGGCCUCUCUGGGCUUCCCUUGUUGCUGUACUUGUGGUGCCGGAUAGAAACUAACAAGUGCUAAUCCCUCUUAUCAAGGAGCAGAUUCCUAAUGGGCAUGCCUACUUUGAGUCAUUUCUCUUUCUGGUCACAUCAACGGUAGCAUCAUGUUCCUGCAGACGUAUCUGUGACGUUUAAAACAGACACUCAACACUUCACUGCUGGCAUUAACAGAAGAAAAAAAAAGUCCAGACAAUGACAAUAUAUUAAUGCAACACUUCUCUGGAAGCCACAGUGCCCUACUGAUCUCAGACAAGUUUGGACACAAACGCAGGCCAACAAACACAAAUUGCACCCAGAGAAAACAGCAAUAUUUCUGCAACCAAGGAAACAUCACACCUUUCAGUAGCACUGCAGCAGCCGAAGCUAAUUUUGAAUAGAGCUGUCAGAAAUGGACAGAAGCCACUUGUUUCAUAAGACCAGCAAUGUGUACGGCCUUUAACUGCCCCGAUUUGUAACAGGUAUUUAUAUAUCUUUCCUUAAAGGAACACUAGUGCUAGGUAGCAUAAAAUGCUAUAUGUACUUGAAAAAGAAAACUAGCACUCAACAAUUAGACCUCAUGUACAAUUACACCAACAAAAUUCAUCUGUAUGUACAAUAAUUGGUGGUUACACUUGCAUAAGCUACCCUCCAACAGCACAACUUGCAAACAGCCUACAGGCUAAAUGCAAGGAACAUAAGAGCCACCCUUGCUCCCGUUCCAUCCCCAUCUCUAAAGAAACAGCAAGAAGUACCAUAGUUUAUCACUCAAAGUAAGCAAUUACCUCUGAUUCAAUUAUAUCAAAGGCAAAUCAAAUAAGAUCUGUAUCUCCUGUAGCCUUUUUCCUCCCUUCAGCUCAGGGUCUAAGUAGGUACAGAGAUGGAAGACAUCAGUGUGCAUUUGCUGUUUCCAGCAACCAGACCUCACAGCUUGACAUUCCAGUAUCACAAAGCACAAGACUGGGUAAACAAAUGCAAUGUUCUCUCUUUUAUUUUUAUUUUUUAAAUCAAACAAUGAGAAACAAUGCAUGAUAUAAAGGUGCGUAAAGUGUUUUUUCCAAAAAUCUGAGAAAUUUUAUAAAAAAGAUGCCACUUUAAGAACUGUUAAUAAUAUACGACUUGAUAUCCUAUCCUUCCAAGGCCAAUUUGUUUUGGAAUUUCAACUAAAAAUAAUAAUUAUAAAAAAAAAAAAAAAAAAGAGAUUGGACACCCUCCUUCC